CCAAGGUCCACUGCGGUUUUCCACGCGAUGCAGAACCUUUAGACACUGGAUUAAUGUUCUGGAUUAAGUCCAAUGUAUUUAUUGGAAAACAGUAGAGAAAUCUGCAAAUAAGUGGGUUGCAGACAUAAUUACUCAUCUGUCUUCCAUACAUGUAGCAAAAGAAUGCAGAGGCCAUAUGAAUUCAUCUUCACUAAGGAACUCUUCACAGCACUGCAUCUGAACAGUCACAACCUCACAGAGCAGCACAACCACCUCACUCAGGAUCAGUGUUAUGGUGCCAUUUUGAAGCUGGAACCUCAUCUUGUGUUCAGAAA